UACGUAGGUGGCAAGCGUUGUCCGGAAUUAUUGGGCGUAAAGCGCGCGCAGGUGGUUUCUUAAGUCUGAUGUGAAAGCCCACGGCUCAACCGUGGAGGGUCAUUGGAAACUGGGGAACUUGAGUGCAGAAGAGGAUAGUGGAAUUCCAAGUGUAGCGGUGAAAUGCGUAGAGAUUUGGAGGAACACCAGUGGCGAAGGCGACUGUCUGGUCUGUAACUGACACUGAGGCGCGAAAGCGUGGGGAGCAAACAGG
rnacentral:rRNA from 1 species